rnacentral:rRNA from 1 species
AGAUUGAACGCUGGCGGCAUGCUUUACACAUGCAAGUCGAACGGUAACAGGUCUUCGGAUGCUGACGAGUGGCGAACGGGUGAGUAAUACAUCGGAACGUGCCUAGUAGUGGGGGAUAACUACUCGAAAGAGUAGCUAAUACCGCAUGAGAUCUACGGAUGAAAGCAGGGGACCUUCGGGCCUUGUGCUACUAGAGCGGCUGAUGGCAGAUUAGGUAGUUGGUGGGGUAAAGGCUUACCAAGCCUGCGAUCUGUAGCUGGUCUGAGAGGACGACCAGCCACACUGGGACUGAGACACGGCCCAGACUCCUACGGGAGGCAGCAGUGGGGAAUUUUGGACAAUGGGCGAAAGCCUGAUCCAGCAAUGCCGCGUGCAGGAUGAAGGCCCUCGGGUUGUAAACUGCUUUUGUACGGAACGAAAAGCCUGGGGCUAAUAUCCCCGGGUCAUGACGGUACCGUAAGAAUAAGCACCGGCUAACUACGUGCCAGCAGCCGCGGUAAUACGUAGGGUGCAAGCGUUAAUCGGAAUUACUGGGCGUAAAGCGUGCGCAGGCGGUUUUGUAAGACAGUGGUGAAAUCCCCGGGCUCAACCUGGGAACUGCCAUUGUGACUGCAAGGCUAGAGUGCGGCAGAGGGGGAUGGAAUUCCGCGUGUAGCAGUGAAAUGCGUAGAUAUGCGGAGGAACACCGAUGGCGAAGGCAAUCCCCUGGGCCUGCACUGACG